AGUCUCCCUCGGACUCUGGGCUGUACACGGUGGGCACCAGAAGUGAGACUCGGCCAAGCCCUGCCGUACCAGAAUCACUGCUGUGAUUGAUGUUCUAGCCAACUUGGAUGUAAAUGUCUCCUUGGAUGGUCCCAGGCUUAGAGUCUCUCCAAGCAUCACCCAGCCUGUCUUCACAACAUUCAGCUUAUCCCAGACCAUAGAAGCCACUGGUCCUGAAUACAUAUAUUUCACCAGAACAGUAAAGAAGGGGUGAUCCUUCAUGUCGAUGGAGUGUUCAAGAAGGUCCUCUGAAGACUGCAUGAAUUUCAAACCAGCAAGGAGGAGUUUCUUCUGUUUAAAAUGCUGGAUGAUUUCUCUCAUGAUCAAUCUCCUGCUGGAUCCUAUCAGACUUGAUAGCAAUGAAGAUUUGCUCACUGUUACUUAUGGUCCAUGUCAGAAGUCAGGUCUUUAACUUGAAUUCCUCUCAGUUAGCUUCUGAUAUAUCUAGGAGACUCUCUGAUCCUCUUGAUGUUACUAUUUCCCUGCUUCCUCUCCUACAAUGUUAAUGUCCCCUGAGCCUUAGGUACAAAAGUAUUUGGUAGAAAUAUCUGUUGGGACUAGACUCCACAACUCUAAAUUUUGGUUGGCUAUGCCUUUCUGAAAUGGUCUCUGCUGCAAAGAGAAGUUUCCUUGAUGGGGUGAACUAAACUGAUCUGUGGAUGCAAGGACAAAUGUUAAGAUUGUUUGUAGGUGGCUUCUCAGGGGAUACACAAACCUCACUCAAGGGCCUCAUGCCCAACAUUACAGCUCAAUACCAAACAAACUCAAUAGUAUUUUUUUUUGGAAACACACACACACAGGUCCAUAUAUAUAGUCCAAAAUAUUUUGUAUUUGUAUAUGUAUAAUGUGUGUGUAUCACAAAAUGGUUUAUAUGGUAAUGUUUUUUGCUUGUUGUUUAUCUGCUGUUUAUUUUGUUUUGUCCUAUUUUUAUUUACUUUUUUAGAUGCCUGUGUUUUUAAGUGAGAGAUACCAAGAAAAGAUGUUGAUUUAGGUGGGUAGGGAGCUGGGGAGGAUCUGGGAAGAGUUAGGGAAGGGGGAAUUAUAAUCAGAAUUUAUUGUUUGAAUGAAUCGAUUUUUAAAAAAUUCUUCUCUCACCCAAUCCAUCCUGAACACAGUUCCACACAUGGGCUCAUCCUAGCUCCCUCCCCACUUCAGCCCAUCUCUGUGUCCUUUCAGAAAAGAGCAAACUCCAAGAGAUGUCAACCAAACAUGACAAAACACAAUACAACAAAACAAGACGAAAGCCCUUACAGUAAGGCUAGACAAGACAACCCAACAGAAGUAAGAGUCCCAAGAGCAGGUAAAAGAGUAAAGGACACACCCAUUCCCAGAGUUAUGAGUUUGAAAAAACCACCAAGCUGACAGUCCUAACAUAUAUAUACAUGUAGGACCUAGUGCAGGACCAUGCAGGCCACUUGCUUUCCGGCAAUCCUGUACGAGCCCUGCUUAGUUGGUUCAGUGGCCCAUGUUCCUCUGGUGUCCUUCAUCUCCUCUGACUAUCUGAUUCUCACAAUCUUUCCUUCCCCUCUUCAAUUUGAUUCAACAAGCUCUGAGAGGAGAGACCUGAUGGAGACUGCAGUUUAGAUUUUCUGUCCACAUAAUAUCGGUCUGUGGGUCUCUGCAUCUGCCUCCAUCUGCUGGAGGAAGCCUAUUUGAUCAUGGUGGAUUUUUUUAAUGUGUUCUUGGAUUCAAUUUAUAUGAGUUUUAUUGAAUAUUUUUGCAUCUAUGUUCACAGGGAAAUUGGUCUGUAAUUCUCUUUCUUUUUUGAGUAUCUGUGUGGUUUAGAUAUCAGGGUGACUGUGGCCUCAUAAAAUAAAUUGGGCAAUGGUUCUGAUUUAUGGAAUAAUUUAAGGAGUAUUGGCAUUAGCUCUUCUCUGAAAUUCUGGUAGAAUUCUGUGCUAAAACUGGGUGGCUCUGGGGUUUCUUUGGUUGGAAGACUUUCAAUGAUUGCUUCUGUUUCAUUGGGAGUUAUUUGUCUAUUUAAAUUGUUCAUCUGAUCUUGAAUUAACUUUGGUAGGUGGUAUCUAUCAAGAAAAUUGUUCAUUUCUUUAAAAAUUUUCAAUUUUAUGGAGUACAUGUUUUUGAAGUAAUACCUAAUAAUUCUUUGGGUUUCCCAAAUUUCUCCUGUUAUGUCCUUCUACUUUUAUGAUUUCAUUAGUUUGGAUAUUCUUUUUCUGUCUUUUAGAUAGUUUGGAUAAAGGUUUGUCUAUCUUGUUGGUUUCCUCAAAGAAUUAACUCUCUGUUUCAUUGAUUUGUUUUGUAUUGUUCUCUUUGUUUCUAUUUUAUUUAUUUCAGCUUUUGGGUUAAUUUGCUCCUGUUUUUUCCUGGAGCUUUCAGGUGAGCUGUCAAGUGUUUAGUAUGAGAUCUCGCCAACUCCUUUAUAAAGGCACUUAGUGCUAGGAACUUUUCUUCUAUUACUGUUUUCAUCUGUCCUAUAAGUUUGGGUAUAUUGUGCAUUCAUUUUCAUUGAAUUCUAGACAGUUUUUAAUUUCCUUCUUUAUUUCUGCCUUGAACCAAUUCAGUAUAUGAAUGUUCAGUAGUUUUUUUUUUUUAAUAUUCAGCUUUAGAUAGAUAUAUCUAUCUGAUGCAUAUCUGAUAGAAUUCAGCAGGUUAUUUCAAUUUUCUUGUAUCUGUUGAGAUUUGUUUUGUGACUGAGUAUGUGGUCAAUUUUGGACAAAGUUCCAUGAGGUGCUGAGAAGGAGGUAUAUCCUUUUGUCUUUUUUUCCUUCUCUUUUUAAAGUGAUUUACUUAUUUCUUCAAAUUGUUUGUUCGUGUUUUCCUGAAUUUCUUUAAGAGAUUUAUUCAUUUUAUCUUUAAGGAUCUCUAUAGUUUUCCUUUUAAGGUCCUUUUCUUGUGCUUCAGCUCUGUUGGAAUACUCAUGUUGUAGUAUAACUGAGCUCUAGUGGAGUCAUGUUGCCCCGACUGCUACUGAUUAUGUUGCUAAGUUGGCAUCUAGGCAUCUGGUUUGGGAACAUUUUAGGCCUAAGUGCAGGUUUCUGGAUGUGUUUCUGUUGGGCACAUGUUUUGUUUCUUGAUUUCUGUUUCCUCUUUGAAUUUUCAGAUAUUUGUGAUGACUAUAUGUUGCCUGCUUUCCUGUCCUGUUCAGCUGUUGUGUUGACAGGGAGUGUCUUCUGGUCCUGGAUGCUGGGUUGCAGGUGGGUGUAGGGUGAGGAAAGUCAGGUGAGAUCCACAGAAGUAGCCUAGAGGAAAGUAAUGCUGCAGCUGAUGUUCUGUUGCGGUGCUAGCAGGGAGCCUGAGGAAUUAGGUCUGCUGGGAGAAUGGAGAGAGAAAAGUCUGCAAGCAGAUUAUCUAAUCUUCUGUCAGGUAUAGUCUGUGGUUGAGUCCUCUUGAGUGUCCUCUGGAGUUAGGGGCUGUGACACUGCAACAAGUCUGGGGUAGGAUUCACAGGAUGCAUAGUGACACAAAAGGGAGGCUGCAGCUGCUGUUCGGUUGCAGCAGUGGGGCAAAGGAAGAUCUAUUUUUAAUAUAAAAAUGUUGUUGUUAGUGAUUAUGUUGUUAGUGAUUAUGCUGGCUUAGAUAAAUUAGAUAAAUGGAUAAAUGGAUAAAUGGAUAGAUAAAUAGAUAAAUGGAUAGGUUCUCCUCAAGAUUCAUGUCUUCACUAUUACUGAGGAAUUGGCGAUAUUCCCAGGAUCAGGCAUGCCAUUCCUCUUGUUGCCAUUCCUCUUGUUGCCAUUCCUCUUGUUGAGAGGGAUUCCAGUUCCAUUACUCCUACCUAAAUUGGUCACUCCUAAGAUAUGCAUGCCACUACUGCACCCUUGAGAGGAUCAUGCCAUGGUGCUCAUGUUUUGGUUCUUAGGUACCAUCGAUUGGUAUGCUUGUUGGUUGCUUCCAUCUUUUGAAGCCUGCAUGGCUCCUUCUGGUGUCAGAAAAUGUAGUCCUCAAAGAGGAGGCAUUCAGGCAAUUCUAAAAGAGUGGCCUCUGGGCUCUGUUUCUGAAGUCCAUGGUGUCUUCAGCAAUAGGGACUCACCUUCCACCUUUCUAUUGGUAGAUAGUAUUGAUAAACUGUGUGCAUGUAUUACUUUGGUAAAAUUUGAUGUCCUCAAUGGGGAAAUUAAGAUAAUAAAUCCUUUUACUUAUUAUUUAUCGUUACUACUCAGUAAAUAUCUCUGAAAUGUG
ensembl:antisense